CAGGCUUAACACAUGCAAGUCGAGGGGCAGCAUGGUCUUAGCUUGCUAAGGCCGAUGGCGACCGGCGCACGGGUGAGUAACACGUAUCCAACCUGCCGUCUACUCUUGGACAGCCUUCUGAAAGGAAGAUUAAUACAAGAUGGCAUCAUGAGUCCGCAUGUUCACAUGAUUAAAGGUAUUCCGGUAGACGAUGGGGAUGCGUUCCAUUAGAUAGUAGGCGGGGUAACGGCCCACCUAGUCUUCGAUGGAUAGGGGUUCUGAGAGGAAGGUCCCCCACAUUGGAACUGAGACACGGUCCAAACUCCUACGGGAGGCAGCAGUGAGGAAUAUUGGUCAAUGGGCGAGAGCCUGAACCAGCCAAGUAGCGUGAAGGAUGACUGCCCUAUGGGUUGUAAACUUCUUUUAUAAAGGAAUAAAGUCGGGUAUGGAUACCCGUUUGCACGUACUUUAUGAAUAAGGAUCGGCUAACUCCGUGCCAGCAGCCGCGGUAAUACGGAGGAUCCGAGCGUUAUCCGGAUUUAUUGGGUUUAAAGGGAGCGUAGAUGGAUGUUUAAGUCAGUUGUGAAAGUUUGCGGCUCAACCGUAAAAUUGCAGUUGAUACUGGAUAUCUUGAGUGCAGUUGAGGCAGGCGGAAUUCGUGGUGUAGCGGUGAAAUGCUUAGAUAUCACGAAGAA
rnacentral:rRNA from 1 species